rnacentral:rRNA from 1 species
UACAGAGGGGGCAAGCGUUGUUCGGAAUUACUGGGCGUAAAGGGCGCGUAGGCGGCCCGCUAAGUCGAACGUGAAAUCCCCGAGCUCAACUCGGGAACUGCGUCCGAUACUGGCGGGCUUGAAUCCGGGAGAGGGAUGCGGAAUUCCGGGUGUAGCGGUGAAAUGCGUAGAUAUCCGGAGGAACACCGGUGGCGAAGGCGGCUUCCUGGACCGACACUGACGCUGAGGCGCGAAAGCGUGGGGAGCGAACAGG